rnacentral:rRNA from 1 species
CGCAUCUGUGCAUGCAGCAUAUCAAUAAGCGGAGGAAAAGGAAACUAACAAGGAUUCCCCUAGUAACGGCGAGUGAAGCGGGAAGAGCUCAAAUUUGAAAUCUUAAAGGGUUUCCCUUUACGAAUUGUAGUUUAAAGAAGUGUUUUCUGUUGAGGUUUUGGUAAAAGUUCUUUGGAAUAGGACAUCAUAGAGGGUGAGAAUCCCGUAUUUGACCUUUACUUUCAACUUUGUGAUACACUUUCAAAGAGUCGGAUUGUUUGGGAAUGCAGUCCAAAAUGGGUGGUAAAUUUCAUCUAAAGCUAAAUAUUGGCGAGAGACCGAUAGCGAACAAGUACCGUGAGGGAAAGAUGAAAAGAACUUUGAAAAGAGAGUUAAACAGUACGUGAAAUUGUCAAAAGGGAAGCGUUUGACACCAGUGUUGUUUUUCUGAAAAUCAAUUAAAGAACUGUUUAUGCUAAGCUGUUUAGACUUUAUCAGCUAUCUGUUUAGUUUUGAGCUUUUCUUUAAUGCACUUUUCAGUUAACAAGUCAACAUCAAUUUCUUUUGCUGUAAAAAAGCUUGAGGAAGGUGGCUUGAGAUUCGUCUUAAGUGUUUAUAGCCUCUUGCCUAUGCAGUCGGAGAGAUUGAGGUCUGCAGCGUAGAUCCUUCGGGGCUAAAUGCAUUUGUGCUAAGUUAUAGCAUUUUAUAGACAACUUGUUGACUAUGAUUUGUCUUGUAGCUUACUCGCUUAUGUUAUUUUACCUACGCUUAGGAUGUUGAAUCUGUGCGAGACUAC